UAGGGAAUCUUCCACAAUGGACGCAAGUCUGAUGGAGCAACGCCGCGUGAGUGAAGAAGGUCUUCGGAUCGUAAAGCUCUGUUGUUGGUGAAGAAGGAUAGAGGCAGUAACUGGUCUUUAUUUGACGGUAAUCAACCAGAAAGUCACGGCUAACUACGUGCCAGCAGCCGCGGUAAUACGUAGGUGGCAAGCGUUGUCCGGAUUUAUUGGGCGUAAAGCGAGCGCAGGCGGGAUGAUAAGUCUGAUGUGAAAGCCCACGGCUCAACCGUGGAACUGCAUCGGAAACUGUCAUUCUUGAGCGCAGAAGAGGAGAGUGGAACUCCAUGUGUAGCGGUGGAAUGCGUAGAUAUAUGGAAGAACACCAGUGGCGAAGGCGGCUCUCUGGUCUGCAACUGACGCUGAGGCUCGAAAGCAUGGGUAGCGAACAGGAUUAGAUACCCUGGUAGUCCAUGCCGUAAACGAUGAGCGCUAGGUGUUGGGGACUUUCCGGUUCUCAGUGCCGCAGCAAACGCAUUAAGCGCUCCGCCUGGGGGGUACGACCGCAAGGUUGAAACUCUAAAGGUGAAUUGAC
rnacentral:rRNA from 1 species